UGAAUAUGUCUAAAACUGGAGUUAUUCAGCUGUGAACAUGGAGGUCUGAACAUUUCAACAAUUUUGCAUAUUUGAACAACCAUCUUUAAACAAUCAUAUCUCAUUCACUACAUAUCCGUUCUGUCUGAUUCUUCUUCAUGUGAUUCUUUGUUAUAUAGACAAUAACUUUACUUUACAAAGUUAUUUCAAAUCAACUGUAGAUAUCAACUUAUUAAGCUGCAAAGUUGACACCUUGCAGCUGCCAAAUUUCCAAAUCAGCUUUCAAUAAAUUUUUAUCUAACUUUACAGGCUUUUAAUUUANAUUUCCAAAUCAGCUUUCAAUAAAUUUUUAUCUAACUUUACAGGCUUGUAAUUUCUUCAUUAAAACUCAUUUUGACCUGAUUCUUUUUAAUAUUGUUUCAUUUUUAGGUCUAUUACAAGUUACAUUUUACCCCUUUUCUUUACCUCGCCUCUAAGGUUAUCAUUUUGGCCCUCAAAGUUAGCACCUUAUCUCUUUAACUAAUAUCACUCAUUUCAUAAAUUUUAUCAGAUUAACAGGAUCAAUCAAAUUAGUCACUCAAAUUAAUCAAUCAGAUUACUUAUUCGAUUCAAUAAUAAUAAAUCUCAUAUUGGGAUUUGGUCUCGUCAUAUCUUGGAGACCCAAAUCAUAAUCAUCGUCUAUAACAGAGAACCAAAUCAUCUCUCAUGCAUCUAUCAUAAUAAUCUCGUGAUCUCAAUAAAAAUCAUCAUUAUCAAGUUUUUAAUUUAUAUAAGUUUAUAUCUUACAUUUUUAUAUAUAUUCAAACCUUUUA
rnacentral:lncRNA from 1 species